GCUUGUCUCAAAGAUUAAGCCAUGCAUGUCUCAGUAUAAGUUCCUGUACGGCGAAACUGCGAAUGGCUCAUUAAAACAGUUACAGUUUAUUUGAUGGUCGUUCCUUACAUGGAUAACUGUGGUAAUUCUAGAGCUAAUACAUGCACCCGUGCCCGACUUUGUGGAAGGGUUGUGUUUAUUAGUUACAGAACCAGCCCAGGCUCUGCCUGGUCUUGUGGUGAUUCAUAAUAACUGAUCGAAUCGCAAGGCCUUUGGCCGCGAUAAGUCAUUCAAGUUUCUGCCCCAUCAGCUUUGGAUGGUAGGGUAUUGGCCUACCAUGGCUUUAACGGGUAACGGAGAAUUAGGGUUCGAUUCCGGAGAGGGAGCCUGAGAAACGGCUACCACAUCCAAGGAAGGCAGCAGG
rnacentral:rRNA from 1 species